UGUAGGGAUUUUUAGUGGGAGCCGCACUGAGUAGGUGGGGAGCCCUGAUUAGAAAACUGAAGAUUUUGGAGGGGUUUUAUUUACUAUUUUGAGGCUUAAUUUAAAAUAUUUGUAAUGCCAAUAGUUGUAAUAUAUUUUUUAUAAUGGUAAUAUUGUCGUCAAAUGUGCCGCGCGUUUAUUGUAAUAAUAGAUCGGCUACGGAUAUAAAGUCUCCAGGCUUCUCGGCCAUGAAAAUGUUUAUCUUUCCAAAAUAAAUUAGUAGAAGGAAGUUGUGGAUCCAUGCCAUCAAACCUGCUUAUUAGAAUCCAACCCAAGUCUCAAGAGUUUGUCAGGCUUCGUUUGAGAAUAAUAUUUCUGAGGAAGUCUCCAGAAAGACGGCAAGGUUUGGUGCAUUAUGCAAUUACGGGGUGGGCCAUUGAAAUUUAAACACUUACUAAUUCAAUAAUUAAUGAAGGUUGAGUUAUGGAAAUUAAUUCAUAUUUCGAUCUUACGUUCAAAUCGAAAAAUGACACUUGAACGUGAUCGACAAAUUUCCAUUCACGCACUCCAAGUAGUUGGUUUUCUCCAGGACCACAGUAUACGACAUCAACAAGUCCAAGACGUUGGAGAUGAAUAAAAGCUCUGUCAAAAAGACCAUACAGGACACAAAAGAGUUGAAUAAAUCAGCCCAAGCCAAUCCCUUCAAGUCCUGAGGGCCCACGCAAGAUGUCUCGGGUUCACACCAAACUGUCCUGAGAGUUAUCAAAAAGUAGGUGGAAAGAGCUUGUGAGUGUGGAGAGGCCAUUUUUGGCACAAACAAUGAAAGAAACCCAUCUCCUCCGUUGCAAGACUCUUUUUGAGUUAUUUCUUGACACUUUUGCUCCCCCCCUCUUUAGCCCUGGUCCCAACAGUGCCCAUCAUUCAAACACCGAGGCCCAGAAGACCAGCAUGGGGACGCCACGACAGAAGUCUAUAUUUGCAGUGGGUGCCAGGCAUUCCGCUGCCGCCUUGAAGGCAUCAUUUUUUCUAAGGUUAGCUACAUUAAUGAUUAAGACAGCUCAGACACACAUCUAUUUAUAGUAUUAAUUUUGCUUAAAUUAUUUUGUUAAUUAAUAAAUUAUAUCUUGUUGAAGUUUAAAAUUCUAAGUGCUCAGUGCUUUUAAUGGACCACCCAGUAUUUUCAUGAUGUAUAAAAAAGCUGUAGUUUAACUGAAACUAAUUAUUUGAGCCAUGUAUCUCAAUUUAUUUUUAAGUUAUGUUUUAUUAUGUAUUUAUUACGUUUCGUUUUACCUUGACCUCUUAAAAUUUUUAUUGUGACCAUGUAUUAUCUUCAUAAAAAGUUUUAUCAACAUCGAUCCAUAACUUUUGCCGUAAUCCUGGUGACGAACCAACAAGCAGAGGCAAAAACAUACUUCU
rnacentral:lncRNA from 1 species